GUUACUGCUAUCGGAGUUCGAUUAAGCCAUGCAAGUCUAAAGGUUUCUUCGGAAACCUUGGCGGACUGCUCAGUAACACGUGGAUAACCUACCCUUGGGACUGGAAUAACCCCGGGAAACUGGGGAUAAUACCGGAUAGAUCAGGGAUGCUGGAAUGCACCUUGAUCCAAAGCUCCGGCGCCCAAGGAUGGGUCUGCGGCCUAUCAGGUAGUAGUGGGUGUAACGUACCUACUAGCCAACGACGGGUACGGGUUGUGAGAGCAAGAGCCCGGAGAUGGAUUCUGAGACACGAAUCCAGGCCCUACGGGGUGCAGCAGGCGCGAAACCUUUACAAUGUGCGAAAGCAUGAUAAGGGAACUCCGAGUGCCAGCAUCUAAUGUUGGCUGUCCUUGUGCCUAAAACGCACAAGAUAGCAAGGGCCGGGUAAGACCGGUGCCAGCCGCCGCGGUAACACCGGCGGCCGAGUGGUAGCCGCUAUUAUUGGGUCUAAAGGGUCCGUAGCCGGUUCGAUAAGUCCUCUGGGAAAUCUGGUUGCUUAACAAUCAGACUGCCAAGGGAUACUGUCGAACUUGAGACCGGGAGAGGUAAGAGGUACUUCAGGGGUAGGAGUGAAAUCUUGUAAUCCCUGGGGGACCAUCUGUGGCGAAGGCGUCUUACCAGAACGGGUCUGACGGUGAGGGACGAAAGCUGGGGGCGCAAACCGGAUUAGAUACCCGGGUAGUCCCAGCCGUAAACGAUGCUCGCUAUGUGUCAGGUACGGUGUGACCGUAUCUGGUGCCCGUAGGG
rnacentral:rRNA from 1 species